rnacentral:lncRNA from 7 species
UUUACUGGAUUUAAUUGAAGCAGAAGCCUCUCAGAAUGGUCUGGCUGGGAGUCUGAAGAACAAAAGCACAUCAGAAUAAAACCCACAACAAAUAUUUAAUUAAAUAUUUUAUACUGGGAUGAGCAGAAAGAAUGAAAGAUGGAGUUAUGUGCUCCAAUCCGGUGUCACUGUAACUUGUACCUUCAUCUCACUGAGCUUUACUAUUAUCAUUUGGUAUAUACCCUAUGCAUGGAUGGGGAACAUGAGAAAGAGCAGUUUAUGACCAGAGAUACUACUGAAAUCUGGGAUAAUUCCUUUCAGCCAUCUGCAACGGAGAACAGAAAUGAACGCUGAUGUGGUUGCAAGUUUGGAGAUAAGAAGGCAAAGUAGUCUGAAAAAGGGUUGUUUGGAGCAAUUUUCUGCAUGUAAUUGUCUAACAUAAUGUAUGAAAUGAGGCAAGUAUGUAUGUGCCUGUUCCACUUUCCAGGCUGUUGCUAUCAGGCCAGACUUCAGAACUGGAAAAUGUUCUGGCUGUGCACCAAACCAAAGAUACGCUGACAUUUUGUUGUAAUUAGUAAUGCCACUCUUUAUUAAUCACAACCUGUUAAAAUCAAAUAUGCAGGUUAUCACCUACUUAAACUUCAUUCCAAAGAAGAAAGAACAAUACUUUAAAUCUGUUCCAGUUUGCAUAAUAAGAAACAAACUUGCAUUUUUACCACUUUAAUUCAUUGACAGGAUAUUCUUGUUCAGUCACUGUGAAAGUAGAUCUCUGAGAAACUCAGCAUUAGAAAUUUGGAUUCAUGUUUUCACUGGAAUAAAUCAUACUUCGGGUU